rnacentral:lncRNA from 1 species
GGAUGCUGACAGCCCAGGUAGAAGUAGACAGAACUGGGAAAAAUACAUUAGCAAAAGUGAAGUUCAUUUGUGUUCUCCAAAGGAUUUUGAAUGGCAUCCUUACACAGCUCCCCUGUGAAGCAGCUGGCAGUGACGUGGAGGAUAGAUAAGAUCUUCAAGCCCAGGCUGAGGCUGGUCAUGAAAUUGUAUAGCUAAGGAUGACCUUGAACUGGCCCUCCUGCCUCCACAGCUGAGAUCAGGCGUGUCCCACCAAACUUGUUUAAAUUAGUGCUAGCUUAUUGGUUUUGGCUUCAAGUCUUAUCUCUUUGACAGAAAGGAAUUUUCCUUUUAUCAGCUUGUGGCACAGAGUAAGAGUUGUCAGUUAAGGGAGUUUCCUAUAGAAAGGUGGGAUGCUGAGCUCACGUAGGAAGAGAAGAGAAAGGAAUGGAUUGUGUACUGAGUCUGUCUUACCAGCAGUACUGAUGGAAACGCCCAUGGCAGUUUCACAAGUGCCAUCGUAGAACUUGGCUUCGAAAUCACACAUUUGAAUUAUUAUAAAGGAAACCCAGUGCUGUGUUUCGCAUGCCUUGGACUCGGGUAGAGAAAGGAUGAAGAAAGGAUAUGCACACUCAUAGGGAAGAGCUGGGACAGGGUGGGCCGUGCUCACUGUGAUGGAGCAGCACUCAGACACCAGCAACUGGAUCCUCGGUGGGGUGUAUCAUGGACAGCACAGAGGGGAGUGAGCUCAUCUCUGUAGGCUGUCUCUACUGGGGAGCAAACUCAGAUCACAGUCAUGCAGGAGGAGGGAGCUGAAGUUGCUAGAUUUUGCACACACUGGUCAAUUAGUCUUCAUGGCACACACUAUUGUACUUGCACAAGCUCCCAACAUCUGCACGGGACCAACAGAAGGAUCAGGCCACCCAAAGACAUCUGAGGUAUUGGGGUCCCUCCACAUUCACUCAAGACUUGGUCUGUACUUUACACGUUCACUGGAGGCUUCCUCUGCUCCCUCUAGCUCAGUGAGCUGCAGAACCUGCCACACUGGCCUACUUGCUUCCUCCUGAGGGAAGUGCAAUCAGCACAGCAAGUGCUGACUUGGCA